AAUUUAGGCCGGCUCUUGAGGAGAAAAUUGCAAUAAUAAUCAGUGAUUGCAACACGUUUUAGAAAAACGUAAGAUUGAAAAAUAGAUUUACUGUGUUCACCAACAGAUUCACUGAAAACUAAGAGACAGUCCUGGAGUGUGGUCUAGCGAAGAAGAUGAUUCACCUGCAGAUAAUUUAGAAUGUUCCGUGGUUUUUGCUCUGAUGGAGUGUGAAGAGAUGAGAUGGGGAGCAUUAACUAUUGGAAGGAUCCAUUUUAAGGACAUAUUAUAUCAGGAUCUAGAUAGAUAUCAGAGCAUCUUGGGAGAUUUAGGAAACAGGUGCAGAAACAGGGUUUCUCCUGUUGUGGCCUCAGAGCUGUUGGUUUUCUUCUGCCUCGUCCACUUCUCCAGGCAGAAGUACAUCAGCGGUUGAUUUCCCCAGAGCAAGAAAAGAAGCAGUAAAAGAUUUGAAGGGAUACGUGGUAGUGAUGCAGGGAAACGUGCCUCGAAGCUGCAGAACUGUGGGCUGGUGGGGACACCGCUUCAUGACCAGUCACCAGUAAGAAAGGAGAAACAUGUUCGUGUAAAACAAAGUGCUUGCUCCACGGGUUAACCCUGGCAGCCUCUGGUGAAACUCCUUUAUUUAAAUAACCUUCCCUAAGCACCUGGUGCCUCUGUUGCUACAGGAAUCACUAGAAACUCCAUAGGAUGUAGGAAAACAUGACCUCCUUGAAAUUAGAGCAAAUGGUCACAAGGAGUCAUCUGGACGAGAAGAAAUGAUGGGUGCCUAAUAUGCCCUCUGAGACAAGUGGAAGUUGGAGGCACCAGACCCAGGCAGAGGUUCCAGGAUGCCAGGUCACAUUCAAGGUCUGGGAGGAGUAGUACCAGCUACAGAGCGUGAGGUCAGAGUGAUCCAACUAGAGCUCAGCAAACAACUCAAAUGGUGAGAGCAGAAGCCAGUGAGCGCACAGAACAGCCUCCCCGCUGGCUGCAGACAUCCCUUGGCACAUGGAGAGGCUGAAGAAAAUCAGUCAUUUCAAUGUCCGGUGAGUGAAGAUGUUGUGAGUGCAUCUAAUGAACUUCAUAAAAUUAUCGCGGGGAUGAAAGAGCAAGUUGAUGUUGAAGGCUUGUCCAAUGGCUUAUCCUCGGUAGAAGUUGAUUUCCUUCCUUUCCUUCAGAGGCCCCCAGAGCACAGUGCCUUGCAGAAUGACAAGACCUAUGCUGGGAAGUCAACUCAGUAAUUAGAUACUCAAGACCGUGGUUUGAAAUUUCACUGCCUGGGCGCCUGAGAGAGUCAGUUAA